UCCUGUAAGUAAACGAAAAGGAAUAAAAUUUAGUUAAGUUAGUGUAUGAAUGUAAAUAUUUACCCUCGUUUACUUACCUGCAGCGACGGUCGAUCGUGGUGGAUACCUGUAAAGGAUACAUUCACCCAAAAAGUAUCUACCAUUCCUCGUUGGAUUUAGAUUCACCUGCAAAUAGGUCGAGCAUAUAGCACAACAACGUUAGGGUAGUUGGACCGAAGUUCGGAUCAAGCGCAAAUCAUACAGCAAAUCGAUCAACAGAGAGAGUGUAGGAGGAAGAAAAGGAAGCUUUAUACAGUGGGAAAGGAAACCACUUUAUUGUAAGUAACAUCUAAUAUUAAUAAAAAUUGUAAGCUAAUGAUAAUAAAUGUUUACAGUUUGAGCGUUGCUGAAAACUAGUCAGCUGCUGUUGAAAAUUUGGUUUCCCUACGGGAACAAUUUCUCAAAAAUAAAGUGACACAAGCGGUGUCCAAGAGAGAAGUUCGGACCUUCCCAAAGAAAUGGCUUCCGAUUCCGAAACGGCGGACAAAACAGUCAUGGACCUGACAGCGACUCCGUGUGGAAUCUGCGGGCCAUCAACAUGCGACGAAGAAAUGGUAGGUUGCGACGGUUGCGCAAGCUGGUUUCAUUCUCGCUGUGUAGGUCUAACGGAGGGACUGAAGCCGAAGAAAUGGUACUGCCAAAACGAAGCCUGUCAGCUCCAGGCUCAGGAGUACCAAAGGCAGCUCAAAGAAGCCAAGAAGCAGGCUCGUCUUCGGAAGCCUACCGACGAGUCUGACAAGUCUAGCGUCAACUCUCGCAAAGGCUUUUCCAUCGUGGAGCAAAAAGUGAAGGCGUUAGAGGAAAGGCAAAAGCGGCAGUAUGAAGAGCUAGAGGCGGAGAUGCAGCUGC